rnacentral:miRNA from 1 species
UGAGGUAGUUAAGCACAGGUA